UAACACUAUUUACAUUACGGCGGCACAAUGCACAACCGAUUAGUGCAUUUGCCUCAUGGCUCUGAAGACCCACGUUCCAAUCUGGCCCCUCCUGUGUGGAAUUUGCAUUUUCUCCCCGUGCCUGCGUGGCUUUUCUCCAGGUACUCCAGUUUCUUCCACAUCCCAAUUAAUGCACUAAUUGAUGACUAUAAAUUUCCCUUAGGUGUGAUUGUGAGUAUGAAUUAUUGUAUGGUUCUGUCAUGAUCCUGCCGCUCCAGCCCGGCCGGGCUGUGCGGGGGCCCGCGCGGUUGCGCUGAUUGGGAGGCGCACACCUGCGCCUCAUGCGGGCUGAUUAUCCUGUGUAUUUAUAUGACCCCGAUGACGACUGGUCGGCGCCAGAUCGUUGAGGUUCAUGUCCUGUUCGAGCACUCCCGGUUCCCUGAUCGACCUACUGUGUGUACCGACCUUCGCCUGUUCUCCGACCAACCCCGUAAGCCCGACUCCUUUGACACAUCUGCCUGCUUUGAUCGUUCUCCCGUGUACCGACUCCUGCCUGCCCGCUCACCUGCUCUCUUCGCCCGACGUCCCAACUAUCGCUGCUGCACCGGACUGCCUGCCCGAUCCCCGACCACGGAAAAAUAAACUGCCUUGCAUUUGGGUUCUACUCCCGUUCCGAUAGGCCGUGACGGGUUCUAUGUGGCCUGCGAUUUGCUGGGCAAAUCCAUCCAUCCAUUUUCUUAGCCGCUUAUCCUCAAAAGAGUCACGGGGAGUGCUGGAGCAUAUCCCUGCUCUCAAUGAGCCUGAAUACACCCUGAGCCGGUUGCCAGCCAAUUGCAUUGCAAAGUCAUUCUCCAAAAUAUUGGCCUACAAGUGGAUACAAAGUCCUAACAUUCCUUUUCAAAUGCCAGGCUUUUGUAAUAUUAAAAAUAGUAAACCAUCAUUUCAAAACUUUUUCCACCUCGGUCACCGCUACCCUGUCUAAAAUGAUUUUUGAAAGAAAUCCUUCACAGGUAAAGUAAAAAUAAAUGGAAUAAUGUUAGACCACAAAUGUGAACAAAACUGGAGCGGUUCCGUCGCCAGAUAUCCUCCACCCUGGUGUGAGGAACAGAACCAGCCAUCAAGAUUUUCCACUGAGCUCUAUCACGGACUGCUGCAGAGGAUGUCAAUCCUGGAAACGGAAAUCCACCGUCUUGAAGUCUAUGUAGAAGUAAAUUGACAGUUUGGCAAUGAACUCACCCGACCAGUGUCUCAAAAUGGUGCACAGAAAUGUUAUAACAGACAACCAUUCAGCUCAUCGAAGAGAUUGGAUGUGGACCGUGGAAACAGUAACGGAUCAUAGGGCAGUUCUCCCUGGAAUUUACUGGGAGUAAAGCCCGAAAAUGUGGGGACUUUACUGAGGAAUCCAGCCGGCCUGGGUUGCGGGCUGCCUCAAUGUCGAGUGAGCGACCGUGGUCAGCUGUCUCUACAAAGGGCAAGAAAAAAAGAACGGGUUUCAAAACACUGAGAUCAGAUUGACAAAUGGAUUUGAGACACUUUUACAAGACCCUGGUCAAGAAUGCUCAUCGCCCACCUCGGCCACUGAAAGAGAGCAGAAGUACUGCAAUUACCUUGACAUAGCGUGACUUGUUUGGACUUCUGCUCUGGGCUAAGAUGAGCUCACACAUGACCAAACUCCAUGAUGAACACAUCUCAACCGGGUGCUCGAUCAAACAUAUUAAAAUUUCGUUAAUCAUCCCGGAAACAUUAAAUAUGAUCCCAUCAUUGGACAAACAGUUGUUCAGUCGACGUGAGAAGAGGUCAUUGGAGUCAGCUGUCAGGGGUGUGACUAUGCCUCUGCCGUUGGGGGACGGCUGAUCCUGGCAGCAGCUCCUCGCCAGCAAAAGCUUUCAAGUUUCCCAUUUAAUUAAUUUCUUCAUGUUUACAGUUACAUUUUCCAAUUAUCGCCCAGAGAGUUCUUAACGAGGAUUUAUGACAAAAUUCAUCCAUUUAAAUCCUUUUAUUUUCAGUCAGGCUUACUGGAAGCUGAGCGAUGCAACAAGCUUUUUUUUUUUUUUUUUUUUUUUUUCUUGCGUUGUCGGACUGCAUCUGCUCUGGGCAUCAGUGUGGCUAAGAUCAGCACACACUUGGCGACCAUGAGGAUGCUUCAAGAUAAACAAAACUCCACCGGUUGCUUGAGCCAACUCAUUGCUAUUCCGUUCAUCAUAAAUUUUAUUCCAUCAUCGAACAAACAAGGUGUUAAGUCAACAUGAGGAGAGCUACUUAAGUGCUACCAUCAGCGGUACCAGAUCACUUCACUCAAGCACCAACGAGCUGCUUCAACUUCAACCAGUGGCGCAAAAAGGUUCACCAAUCAUGGCCAGAAUCACAAAGGUCACUUUGAUGCUAGCCAUGUGUGUGCUCAUCAUGGCUACUAUACUGCACUGUGGACAAAUCCACAGGGCCUCAGAUAUAAGUCAUCUAAGACCGGGAGGUGUCUUCAUCCCGCCCUAUUUGCUGCCAGUUUGUCGAGGCGAUUGGGGUGACUGGGUGAAAAAGAGAUUGUGAUGAAUGAUUAAAUACUGCAUCAUCAGUCAUCUAAGACUGGGAGGUGUCUUCAUCCCGCCCAAUUUGAUGCCA